rnacentral:rRNA from 1 species
CGGUGGCUAAUACCGGAUGAGCCGAAAGGUAAAAGAUUAAUUGCCUAGAGAUGAGCUCGCGUCUGAUUAGCUAGUUGGUGUGGUAAGAGCGCACCAAGGCGACGAUCAGUAGCUGGUCUGAGAGGAUGAUCAGCCACACUGGGACUGAGACACGGCCCAGACUCCUACGGGAGGCAGCAGUGGGGAAUUUUCCGCAAUGGGCGAAAGCCUGACGGAGCAAUACCGCGUGAGGGAGGAAGGCUCUUGGGUUGUAAACCUCUUUUCUCAAGGAAUAAGAAAGUGAAGGUACUUGAGGAAUAAGCAUCGGCUAACUCCGUGCCAGCAGCCGCGGUAAUACGGAGGAUGCAAGCGUUAUCCGGAAUGAUUGGGCGUAAAGGGUCCGCAGGUGGCCCUGUAAGUCUGCUGUUAAAGAGUGAGGCUCAACCUCAUAAAAGCAGUGGAAACUACAGAGCUAGAGUGCGUUCGGGGUAGCAGGAAUUCCUGGUGUAGCGGUGAAAUGCGUAGAGAUCAGGAAGAACACCGGUGGCGAAAGCGUGCUACUAGGCCGUAACUGACACUG